rnacentral:rRNA from 1 species
GUUGUAUGGUUAAGUGACUAAGCGUACACGGUGGAUGCCUAGGCAGUCAGAGGCGAUGAAGGACGUAGUAACUUGCGAAAAGCGUAGAUAAGGCAGUAACAGCCACUUGAGUCUACGAUAUCCGAAUGGGGAAACCCAAGUGCAGCAGCACUUAUCAUUAACUGAAUUCAUAGGUUAAUGAGGCAAACCGGGGGAACUGAAACAUCUAAGUACCCCGAGGAGAAGAAAUCAACCGAGAUUCCGAAAGUAGCGGCGAGCGAAAUUGGAUUAGCCCUUAAGCUUUAUAUGCGUCAGGCGAAGGCUCUGGAAAGGGCCGCGGAACAGGGUGAUAGCCCCGUAGCCGUUAGCGCAUGUUCAGUGAAAUCGAGUAGGGCGGGACACGUGAUAUCCUGUCUGAAUAUGGGGGGACCAUCCUCCAAGGCUAAAUACUCCUGAUUGACCGAUAGUGAACCAGUACCGUGAGGGAAAGGCGAAAAGAACCCCUGUGAGGGGAGUGAAAUAGAACCUGAAACCGUGUACGUACAAGCAGUAGGAGCCNAUCAGCAUUAAAGACUUUUUCCGAUAAACGGUUAACAACGCGCAGCGUUGGUCAACCGACUCAUCGGCAGAGGUGGCUUAGUGAUGGGGUGACUGCGUACCUUUUGUAUAAUGGGUCAGCGACUUAUAUUCAGUGGCAAGGUUAACCACAUAGGGGAGCCGUAGCGAAAGCGAGUCUUAACUGGGCGUUCAGUCUCUGGAUAUAGACCCGAAACCGGGUGAUCUAGCCAUGGGCAGGUUGAAGGUUGAGUAACAUCAACUGGAGGACCGAACCGACUAAUGUUGAAAAAUUAGCGGAUGACUUGUGGCUAGGGGUGAAAGGCCAAUCAAACUCGGAGAUAGCUGGUUCUCCCCGAAAGCUAUUUAGGUAGCGCCUCGGACGAAUACUACUGGGGGUAGAGCACUGUUAAGGCUAGGGGGUCAUCCCGACUUACCAACCCUUUGCAAACUCCGAAUACCAGUAAGUACUAUCCGGGAGACACACGGCGGGUGCUAACGUCCGUCGUGAAGAGGGAAACAACCCAGACCGCCAGCUAAGGUCCCAAAGUAUUGCUAAGUGGGAAACGAUGUGGGAAGGCUUAGACAGCUAGGAUGUUGGCUUAGAAGCAGCCAUCAUUUAAAGAAAGCGUAAUAGCUCACUAGUCGAGUCGGCCUGCGCGGAAGAUGUAACGGGGCUAAGCAAUACACCGAAGCUGCGGCAAUGCGCCUUUUCUUUUAUUAGGGAAGGUCGUAUUGGGUAGGGGAGCGUUCUGUAAGCCGUUGAAGGUGAACUGUAAGGUUUGCUGGAGGUAUCAGAAGUGCGAAUGCUGACAUGAGUAACGACAAGGGGGGUGAAAAACCUCCCCGCCGGAAGACCAAGGGUUCCUGUCCAACGUUAAUCGGGGCAGGGUAAGUCGACCCCUAAGGCGAGGCUGAAGAGCGUAGUCGAUGGGAAACGGGUUAAUAUUCCCGUACUUGUUAUGAAUGCGAUGGGGGGACGGAGAAGGCUAGGUGGGCCAGGCGACGGUUGUCCUGGUUCAAGUGAGUAGGCUUGAGAGUUAGGUAAAUCCGGCUCUCUUUAAGGCUGAGACACGACGUCGAGCUGCUACGGCAGUGAAGUCAUUGAUGCCCUGCUUCCAGGAAAAGCCUCUAAGCUUCAGUUCAUAAGAAAUCGUACCCCAAACCGACACAGGUGGUCGGGUAGAGAAUACCAAGGCGCUUGAGAGAACUCGGGUGAAGGAACUAGGCAAAAUGGUACCGUAACUUCGGGAGAAGGUACGCUCUUGACGGUGAAGUCCCUUGCGGAUGGAGCUAUUGAGAGUCGCAGAUACCAGGUGGCUGCAACUGUUUAUUAAAAACACAGCACUGUGCAAAAUCGUAAGAUGACGUAUACGGUGUGACGCCUGCCCGGUGCCGGAAGGUUAAUUGAUGGGGUUAGACGCAAGUCGAAGCUCUUGAUCGAAGCCCCGGUAAACGGCGGCCGUAACUAUAACGGUCCUAAGGUAGCGAAAUUCCUUGUCGGGUAAGUUCCGACCUGCACGAAUGGCGUAAUGAUGGCCACGCUGUCUCCACCCGAGACUCAGUGAAAUUGAAAUCGCUGUGAAGAUGCAGUGUACCCGCGGCUAGACGGAAAGACCCCGUGAACCUUUACUACAGCUUGGCACUGAACAUUGACCCUACAUGUGUAGGAUAGGUGGGAGACUUUGAAGCGCAGUCGCUAGAUUGCGUGGAGUCGACCUUGAAAUACCACCCUUGUAGUGUUGAUGUUCUAACUUAGACCCGUUAUCCGGGUUGAGGACAGUGCCUGGUGGGUAGUUUGACUGGGGCGGUCUCCUCCCAAAGAGUAACGGAGGAGCACGAAGGUGGGCUAAUCACGGUUGGACAUCGUGAGGUUAGUGCAAUGGCAUAAGCCCGCUUAACUGCGAGAAUGACGGUUCGAGCAGGUGCGAAAGCAGGUCAUAGUGAUCCGGUGGUUCUGAAUGGAAGGGCCAUCGCUCAACGGAUAAAAGGUACUCCGGGGAUAACAGGCUGAUACCGCCCAAGAGUUCAUAUCGACGGCGGUGUUUGGCACCUCGAUGUCGGCUCAUCACAUCCUGGGGCUGAAGUCGGUCCCAAGGGUAUGGCUGUUCGCCAUUUAAAGUGGUACGCGAGCUGGGUUUAGAACGUCGUGAGACAGUUCGGUCCCUAUCUGCCGUGGGCGUUGGAGAAUUGAAGGGGGCUGCUCCUAGUACGAGAGGACCGGAGUGGACGAACCUCUGGUGUUCGGGUUGUCACGCCAGUGGCAUUGCCCGGUAGCUAAGUUCGGAAUUGAUAAGCGCUGAAAGCAUCUAAGCGCGAAGCGAGCCCUGAGAUGAGUUCUCCCUGGCAGUUUAACUGUCCUAAAGGGUUGUUCGAGACUAGAACGUUGAUAGGCAGGGUGUGUAAGCGUUGUGAGGCGUUGAGCUAACCUGUACUAAUAGCCCGUGAGGCUUAACCAUACAACACCGAAGGGGUUUUG